GACGAACCGAGCGAACGUUGUUCGGAAUCACUGGGCUUAAAGGGCGCGUAGGCGGGUGCUCAAGUCCGGGGUGAAAUCCCACAGCUCAACUGUGGAAUUGCCUCGGAUACUGGGUGUCUCGAGGGUGGUAGGGGUAUGGCGGAACUAUCGGUGGAGCGGUGAAAUGCGUUGAUAUCGAUAGGAACUCCGGUGGCGAAGGCGGCAUACUGGGCCACUUCUGACGCUGAUGCGCGAAAGCCAGGGGAGCAAACGGG
rnacentral:rRNA from 1 species